AUUGAACGCUGGCGGCAGGCCUAACACAUGCAAGUCGAACGAGUGGCGGACGGGUGAGUAAUGUCUGGGAAACUGCCUGAUGGAGGGGGAUAACUACUGGAAACGGUAGCUAAUACCGCAUACCAUCAGAUGUGCCCAGAUGGGAUUAGCUAGUUGGUGGGGUAACGGCUCACCAAGGCGACGAUCCCUAGCUGGUCUGAGAGGAUGACCAGCCACACUGGAACUGGGUAACGGGCCCAGCUCCCAAGGGAGGCAGCAGUUGGGGAUAUUUGACAAUUGGCGCAAACCCGAAGCAGCCAUGGCGCGGGUAUGGAGGAUGGCUUUGGGUUGGAAAGUACUUCCGGGGGGGAGGCGUUACCCGCAGAAGAAGCACCGGCUAACUCCGUGCCAGCAGCCGCGGUAAUAC
rnacentral:rRNA from 1 species